AACGCGAAGGAACUUACCAGGGCUUUACAGGGGGAGGCCCCGUCAGAGAUGGAUAUGUCCUGCAAGGGACCUCCUGCACAGGUGCUGCAUGGCUGUCGUCAGCUCGUGUCGUGAGAUGUUGGGUUAAGUCCCGCAACGAGCGCAACCCUCGCCUUUAGUUGCCAGCAUGAUUGGGUGGGCACUCUAAAGGAACUGCCGGUGACAAGCCGGAGGAAGGUGGGGAUGACGUCAAGUCCUCAUGGCCCUUAUGUCCUGGGCUACACACGUGCUACAAUGGCGGUGACAGUGGGGAGCCAGGCAGUGAUGCCGAGCUGAUCUCAAAAAGCCGUCUCAGUUCGGAUUGCACUCUGCAACUCGAGUGCAUGAAGGUGGAAUCGCUAGUAAUCGCGGAUCAGCAUGCCGCGGUGAA
rnacentral:rRNA from 2 species